rnacentral:rRNA from 1 species
GACGAACGCUGGCGGCGUGCUUAACACAUGCAAGUCGAACGGUAAGGCCCUUCGGGGUACACGAGUGGCGAACGGGUGAGUAACACGUGGGUGAUCUGCCCUGCACUUCGGGAUAAGCUUGGGAAACUGGGUCUAAUACCGGAUAGGACCACGGUCUGCAUGGAUUGUGGUGGAAAGCUUUUGCGGUGUGGGAUGGGCCCGCAGCCUAUCAGCUUGUUGGUGGGGUGAUGGCCUACCAAGGGCGACGACGGGUAGCCGGCCUGAGAGGGUGUCCGGCCACACUGGGACUGAGAUACGGCCCAGACUCCUACGGGAGGCAGCAGUGGGGAAUAUUGCACAAUGGGCGCAAGCCUGAUGCAGCGACGCCGCGUGGGGGAUGACGGCCUUCGGGUUGUAAACCGUCUUUCAGCAGGGACGAAGGGUGACUGACGGUACCUGUAGAAGAAGCACCGGCCAAC